rnacentral:rRNA from 1 species
UUCGCCCUUAGAGUUUGAUCCUGGCUCAGGAUGAACGCUGGCGGCGUGCCUAACACAUGCAAGUCGAACGAAGCUUUCUGAUCGGAGAUUCCUCAAAGAUCAGGAAUGACUUAGUGGCGGACGGGUGAGUAACGCGCGAGUAACCUGCCUUUCAGAGGGGGACAACAGUUGGAAACGACUGCUAAUACCGCAUAACAUUACGAGGGGGCAUCUCCUUGUAAUCAAAGGAGCAAUCCGCUGAAAGAUGGACUCACGUCUGAUUAGCUAGUUGGAGAGGUAACGGCUCACCAAGGCUGCGAUCAGUAGCCGGACUGAGAGGUUGAACGGCCACAUUGGGACUGAGAUACGGCCCACACUCCUACGGGAGGCAGCAGUGGGGAAUAUUGGGCAAUGGGCAAAAGCCUGACCCAGCCACGCCGCGUGAAGGAAGAAGGUCUUCGGAUUGUAAACUUCUUUUAUGAGGGACGAAGGACGUGACGGUACCUCAUGAAUAAGCCACGGCUAACUACGUGCCAGCAGCCGCGGUAAUACGUAGGUGGCAAGCGUUAUCCGGAUUUACUGGGUGUAAAGGGCGCGUAGGCGGGAUGGCAAGUCAGAUGUGAAAUCUAUGGGCUUAACUCAUAAACUGCAUUUGAAACUGUCAUUCUUGAGUGCUGGAGAGGUAGACGGAAUUCCUUGUGUAGCGGUGAAAUGCGUAGAUAUAAGGAAGAACACCAGUGGCGAAUGCUGUCUACUGGACAGUAACUGACGCUGAGGCGCGAAAGCGGGGGGGAGCAAACAGGAUUAGAUACCCUGGUAGUCCACGCUGUAAACGAUGAUUACUAGGUGUGGGAGGACUGACCCCUUCCGUGCCGCAGUUAACACAAUAAGUAUUCCCCCUGGGGAGUACGGCCCGCAAAGGUUGAAAAUCAAAGGAAAUGAGGGGGGCCCCCCACAAGCAGUGGAUUAUGUGGUUUAAUUCGAAGCAACGCGAAGAACCUUACCGGGGCUUGACAUCCUACUAACGAAGCAGAGAGGCAUUAGGUUCCCUUCGGGGAAAGUAGAGACAGGUGGUGCAUGGUUGUCGUCAGCUCGUGUCGUGAGAUGUUGGGUUAAGUCCCGCAACGAGCGCAACCCCUAUUUUUAGUUGCUACGCAAGAGCACUCUAGCGAGACUGCCGUUGACAAAACGGAGGAAGGUGGGGACGACGUCAAAUCAUCAUGCCCCUUAUGUCCUGGGCUACACACGUAAUACAAUGGCGUCCAACAAAGGGAAGCAAAACCGCGAGGUGGAGCAAAUCCCCAAAAGACGUCUCAGUUCGGAUUGCAGGCUGCAACUCGCCUACAUGAAGCUGGAAUCGCUAGUAAUCGCGAAUCAGAAUGUCGCGGUGAAUACGUUCCCGGG